GGCAACCAGUUGGGGGUCCACUGCCGCAGUGUGGGAGGUUUGUUCUUUCGCUCUUUGCAAUAAAUCUUGUUACUGCUCACCCUGGGUCCACACUGCUUUUGUGAGUUGUAACACUCACUGGGAAGGUCUGCAGCUUCACUCCUCAAGCCCGGGAGACCGCGAGCCCACCGGGAGAAACGAACAACUCUAGACGCGCCGCCUUAAAAGCGGUAACAUUCACUGCGAAGGUCUGCAGCUUUACUCCUGAGCCAGCGAGACCACGAGCCCACCAGAAGGAAGAAACCCCGAAUACGUCUGAACGUCAGAAGGAACAAACUCCAGAAGCGCCACCUCAAGAGCUGUAACACUCACCGCGAGGGUCCGCGGCUUCAGUCUUGAAGUCAGUGAGACCAAGAACCCACCAAUUCGGGACACAAUACCUAUAAUCCCAGUACUUUAGGAGGCCAGGGCAGGCGGAUCAUCUGAGCUCAGGGGUUGGAGAGGAGCCUGAACAACAUACCGAAACCCCGUCUCUACAAAAAAUACAAAAAUUAACCGGUUGUGGUGGCCGGUGCCGGUAGUUCCAGCUAGUGGGGGACUGCGGAGGUGGGAGCUGAAGCGGGAGGAUCGCUUGAGCCUGGAGGUUGAGGCUGCAGUAAACAGG
rnacentral:lncRNA from 1 species